CCGAGUUUACAACUCCCAAACCCCUGUGAACAUACCUUUAUGUUGCUUCGGCGGUGCCCUCGCUCUCGUGGCGAGGCCCGCCAGAGGACCCAAACAAACUCUUUGAUUUUGAUCUAGGAUUUUACUUCUGAGUGAUAUACAAAAUAAAUCA
rnacentral:misc_RNA from 1 species